AGUUCACUUACCAGCAAUCUGGUCAGCACUGAAGGACUGAAGCGGCGAGAGAGAAGGAGAAAGAAAGGAACAACUAGUACUCUUUCAAAUGCAUUGACAGAAUGAGUGUUCCCUGCUCGGAGAUUUUUAGGAAGACAUGAACAGUCUGGGUGAAUGAAAGAUAAAGAUUAAUUCCCUCCUGUUUCUUAUAGAUUCUCCUUUUUGGUUUAUGAAAAUAGAAGCAGUGCAAGUUUUCUCUGAUUAACCCCAUACAGUAUUAUCACCUGUCUGUCUGUAUCAGAAGCUACAAUCUACAUGGUACAGAACCCAAGCAGCCCAAUGGCAGGUGGCAUUAGGCUCUCUGGGUCACAGCGUUUCACCUCCCUGCUGUGAAAAAAAAGGGUAAAAGUCAGGCAUACAACUUGUGAAGCUGCACUAUGACAACCCACAGGUUUGAAUAUAUAGGCUUUGGUGAAAAUGGUAUCUGAAUCCUAUGAAAGGACUAUGUUAGCCACUCUCAUCACUGUAUUAUAUCCUCUGCUUCCAUUUUAAAAUAAAAGCCAAGAUAAUUUCAAUUGUGAAAUAGUUUGUAAAGUGAAUGUAAAGUACUUUCUAAAGCAAUGAUUUGUUUCUUUUAAAUUUCUAGUUAAAAAUGUACACAUCACCUUACCACUAAAGCACCACGCAUAAUGCUCUCUAAAGCACAAGUAACACACAGAUGGGCUCUAGCAGAAAUUCUAGUAAGUGUCCUGUCAUUAUUAGUCUCAAGUUCCUGACAAGGAAGAUGGGAAGAAAUGAUGGGAGGGCAGUUUUUCAGUUUUAAGUGCACAUGUGAUAUUAAAAACACAUGGUUGGUUCAUUCCUUUG